ensembl:lncRNA
GCCUAUCCAUGUAGAACCUGCACAAAUUAACUGCAGGUGAGAACGUGGUAAAAAAUACUCAUAUAAUAAGAGACACUUUAUUCAUGAUUUAUUUGAUACAUAGCAAUUUAGCUGUUUUCAAUUUGGAGGGAAGAAGAGAUAGAUUGAUAGAAAGAGUUCUUAGCUUGUGACAGGUCUGAGACUCAAUCCUAAGCCCCCCAAACAAUACAGAACCAAAAUCAACUUGAGUUGGAAGGAGAGCCACACCAAAAAACACGAAAAGCCACUUCCACAACUCUAGAUAGAAUUUUAUAAUUUCUGCACUUGGGAGGCAGAGGCAGGUGGAUCUCUGUGAGGCCAAUCUGCUCUACAGAGUGAGUUCCAGGACAGCCAGGACUGUUUCACAGAGAAACCCUGUCUUGAAAAAAAUUAACCCCCACCCCAAAGAAUUUUAUAAUCUCUGCCUUUCUAAUUGCCUUCCUUUCUCCCCUUUCUUUUCUCCCUCUUUUUAUUUUUUUGGUAUCAGUCACAGAAUAGUGUCAAAUAUGGAGCCUUAGUGAUCAUUUUUUCUGCAUAUACCCCUGUGUUGUAAAAUUUAAAUUGCAAUCGGGUGGUAUCUUACACUACAAUUACAUUGUAUUUUGUGUGAACCUCUCCAAAGCCUCCAAGGAUCUUCCUCAUCCCCACCCAUUUCCAUCAGCUGAGCAGACAUAGUCCAGGAGACUUGCAAUGCUAGAACCAUAGAAAUGAUAUCACUUUUGGCGUUGCCAUAUAUUAGAAAGCUUAGAGAAGUUGAAAAAGCAAUGAAUGACAGUGAAGAUAGCUGGAAAAAUGUUUUGCCCGUCUAUUUUGUACACAUUUUGACUCAGAAGAACAUCCUACCUUUUGUUAGGGAUGUAUCUCAUGAGGGGAGAUGGUGCAGAUUUGUAAUACCAACACUGGGGACAUAGGAGGAGGAAUACUUGUUUAGUUUAAGGACAGUCUAGAUUACAGGUGGAUCCCAUCUUUACAAACAAAACCAAGUAAGAAGCAAUCCCCAGGAUACACAAGAAAGAUGCUAAGUGUAGCUUAUUUAGCAUCUGUCACAUAUUGAGGAAGUAUUAGUUGCUAUCUACGGAGAAUCUAGGAUUUAAAAACAUAUAGUUUGCUUUUUGUUUUGUUUAAUGGGUCCUAAAUUGGAAAUCUGACCAGGAAAUGCUAUUUUUAUGAGAAGAAAAGCAUUUUAGGUGAGUCCUUCCUUUCAUCCUCCCAAACAAGGGGGCCAGCCAAUUUAAAGCCACUUAUAGCUCCAGUUAAGUCACUGGGAAGGUAGAUUCCAAGGAACAAGGGCCUUUAGUGCCACUGGGAAAGACUAAACUACAAUAUAACAGUUUCUAGCAGAUGUUUUGAAGUGAACAUUAUUUUUUCCAUGGAGAAGAUCCUUGCCUAGAAAUAGCUUCCUCUCAGAGUCCUUUCCUUCCACACACACCCAGUCACACCUCUCUGGGUGGGCCAUGCACUUUGCCCCUUUGCAGAACUCUAAAGGGGUUAGAGUUAGGCAACUACUACUCAGGAAGGAAAACAAUGCUUUAAACUUUUUUUUUUUUCUUCUAGCGUGCAUCUUUUGUCUUUCAUUUUGUUUUGUUUUGGGAAAGAGAGCCUUGCUGUAUAGUCUUGGCUGGUCUGGAACUUGCUGUGAAGACCAACCUGGCUAGCACCUUUUGGUGAUCCUCCAGUACCCAUGUUCCAAAUGCUCAUAUUUUAGGCUAGACACCAUGCCUGGCUCAAACCUACAUUAAAAAAAAAAAAAUAGAAGCAUCAAAACUCAGGGUGAACUCAGAAAUCAAAGGAGUCAAGUAUGUUUGGGGUUGGAUAAUCAUUCACUUUCAUUACUUCCAGGUAAUUAAAGAGUACUUGCAUGCCAAAAAUAUUUUAAUUUAGAACUGCUGUGGUCCCCAAGAAUGUGCAAAUAAACAAACCCGCCCUGCCAAAGGACACUGCUCUGCAACUCGCUCUGAUGUUUAUAUCUCCAGAAGUUUUUCAUGUUGCAUAGUCCAGGCUAGUAAACAACCUAAACUGCUCUGGUGGCAAAGGUCAAGUUGCAAAGUGAAAGGGACUUAGAAAGAAACUGUCUUGUUUAGAUGUACAGUCUAUAUGAAAGCACACUGGAAAGGACCUCUGCUGCUCUGCCCAUGUGUGCUCAUCAACAGAUUCUGGCCCAGAUGUAAAAUUAGGUUAUCUUUCCCCACAAAACGGGUGUGCAUUUGAUCACCGUGCUGUGUGGGGAUGAAUUUCAUACAGUGACCAGGAGAAAGUACAGCCGGAGACCCCAAAAGGUAGAAAGGUAGCCAUUGACGGAAGCAGUUGGGGUAGGAAGGAAGUGAACGGGAGUUGAGAGAGCCCUUGGUUUCCCCCAGCUGCUGGAACAUAUGGUGCCAGGGUUUUUCAAAAUGACAGGGGAUAGACAGUAAAAUUCCUCCCCCCCCCCCACCGAGAGAAUGCCUUCCCCACAAACAAAGAUAAGUCCUCAGGCUGAAACCAUUUCCCCUUCCACGGGGAAUAAACAGAGGUCAGUAAGAAAAAAAGUUUUUCAUAGUUUAGUAAAAAUAACAGGGAGAUUAUGGAAACAACAGAAGGAGUCAAGGUGUUUGCGAAAAAAAAAAAAAUUAAGACCAGGCCAGACCCUGGUUGGGACUAUCCAAACGGGGUUCUCAAUAUUUCACGUUUUAUAGACCGUCUUUUCCCUAAAGGAUAUACUUUCAUUAGGCCAUAAAUGCACCAGCAGAUGAGAGAGGGAAAGGGGUGUGUGUGUGUGUGUGUGUGUGUGUGUGUGUGUGUGUGUGUUCACCACAGACAGGUGUGAUGGCUGAGGCAUGUAUGUGGUGCAGGUUGUGCCACCCUCCCCUCCACCCAGGGUGGUUUCCUAAUGGUGGUCUACUAAUCUCUGUUUGUCUGUCUGUCCGAGUGUGUGUGUGUGUGUGUGUGUGUGUGUGUGUGUGUAUGCGCGCGCGCGCGCGCGAGGAAACGUGCAUAUAUUUUCAAAUUUGUUAAAAUUGUAAUUUUAUUAGUUGUGUUCUCACUGCCUGAGCUUGGGUGGAAAGAAAACGUGCUGUUGAGCAAUUUCCAGUUGCCCAAGCACCUUGGUCCAUGGGUCAGCGAAGUAAAAUUCUCCAAAGCCUAAGGAACCUAACUGGGUGCCCUCAGAACCGGGUGCCCUUGUCUUCCCAUUUCCUUUGCUUUAGCCCUGAGUCUACCACUUGAGAAUCACCCAACCUUCCGAGUCAAGUUAACUUCUUAAAGCACAUUUCUCAGAGUUAGGGCCUUGCUCCUACCAGCGGCCUCUGAGAGAGCGGUUAACUCCACAGCACGGUUCGCACUUAGAGGUCGGUAGCAGUUUGAAAGUUAUUGUAAAACAUCGCCUGGAUGAUAUAUUGUCUAGGCCAGAUUAGCAAUCAUACCCUAUGUUUAAAACAUACCCUGAAUUGUGGCUCUGUUUCACUGGGGAACUACACCCAAUGGGGAAGAAUUGGAGCAAUAAUUACUUCCUUCUUGGGAAAAAAAAAAUAUGUUUCUAAAGAAAGCUUUGGAAUCAAGGACGAGUUAGGUAAUGUGUAUUAAAAGGCAAGCAGGUCGCUGUCGUUGAGGCCCAAUCACAGUUCGUAGUUCAAGGCAAACUGCCUUUAAUUGACAUGGUGUAUAUUCCCCUGUUCGUCUCAGGGCUGCCCGGGCAGGGACGCCCCAAGAGUAUUUAUUUCUAGGGUGGAAACAAAACAACUACCCCCGUCUACCGCGUUAAGAGAGCGCUCCAAGAUGGACUGCCGGAGAAAGGCUUUUUGACCCGUGUGGAAAUUAGUCAUAUUGACAGACGCGCAGGAAAGGUAAAUUACCCGGCAAGCUGACGUUAUGCAGAAGAGCUCCGGGUUCCGACUCCGCCGCGGUGCGGAGGGGGCUAGAGGCUCCCAGUUUUUUGCCCCAGAUUUCCAUCAAGACCAUUACUUCUCCGGUCCCGGGGUUUCAAUGGGAAGGCGACCCACAGAGUCCUAGUAAGAUGCGAGGCAAGUAAAAGAUACACAAAUAAAGCAAACACAAAGGGAGAAACAUUUACCCUAUCCGAGAUGGACAUGGACAAAGUACAGAACCGAGAGGAAAAAGUCCGCAGAGGAAGGAAAAGGGGGAGGAGGCUGGGAGGCGCGGACUUCGAGGCUUGAGAGCCUGGGUCGCCACUUGGGAGGUCCCGGCCUCAGUCUGGCCAGGCCAACCGUACCCCCGGGAGAAUCUGAGUUAGGGCGGGACAAUUACACCUCGGCUCCAGGCAAGGACUUAAAACCAAGUGGUGAGGACUGCAGUCUGGAAGAGAGGCCCCCGCGGUCAUCAGAGGGGGGGCCAGGCCCGUGCACAGGAACCUUUUACAAGACAAGUGGGUACAAGAAAACAAAAUCAAAAUAAACUACUUUCAUCCAUCAUGGGCAAUGAAAAGAAAAGCUGCCUUCUAGAGGAGGUGGCGGGAGUUUUGAUAUCCAACAUGUUUUGUUUUUAUAUAAUUUUUGGUUUUACAGGACAAUUGAAGCUGGAAUUGUGUGCGUGCGUGUGUGUGUGUGUGUGUGUGUGUGUGUGUGUGUGUGUGUGCUUGUGUGUGUGUGUGUGUGUGUGUGUGUGUGUGUGUGUGUGUGUGUGUGUGUGUGUGUGUGUGUGUGUGUGUGUGUGUGUGUGGUGUGUUAUUGCAUUGGAAGAGGUGGUUGAGGUGAGGUUCAUAGAUUUCUCCCGCGUAUGCACAUCCAUAUUUCUUAACACAAGCUGGAAAAUGCUUGCCACCAGAUGACAGUGACAUUAUCAGGGUCUAGUAGUCCAUCUCUUUUCUUUCCAAAAAUUCGACUUCAGAAGGGACAGAUGAGAGGGCAUUAAAAGUGUGGCAUCUAGAUUUGAUCAAAGGGUCUGCAUAGAGUAGGCAGCAUGACAGGCCAUACCGGUCACUAGAAGCCACAAGGUGACCCCUGUAGGUGUCACGGAGGUUGCAAGAUGGGGCCUCUCUACUUAACUCUGACUUGGGUCCCGGCCUUGCGAUCAGGUUGCCUGGGUGAGGAAGGUGACGAUUUCUCGUGGGCCGGCAGGGUCCCCGCUCUGCAGAGGCAGCGGGUAGUUUCUUGGAUGUUGAGUGUGGCCUCUCAGCACAAUUUCCAACCCCGAGAACGUCCUGGAAUGCUGGGGGCAGUAUUGCGUAGAAACUUGGGCUUCCACGCCCCCUCUCACCUUCAGAAGGCCCGAGUCCGGUCUCACUGCUCAGGUCGCUCAGAUCGCAGCUCGGAUCCCCGCAGCUCUCUCCCUCUUCCUAAGGGUACUUGGUUCCUACAGACUCUCACCUAUCCCCAACAGACUCCUACCACAGCGGUAAGAGCCAGCCUCCCUUAUCUUGGACUUCGGGCCGCCUCCCCAAAGAGCCAGGCCGUCUGGAGCAGGGACAAGACUCAUCCCGCAUCGAGCUUCUACCCACCGAAUUGCCUUGCCUUUGGGGGCCCCUCAGUGCUGAUUCGGCCACCUGGUGCCCUGAACCUGGUGAACAGGAAUCCUCAAGACCCACCGCAUCUAUGCUAUGAGUGGCCCUCGCGAGUGGAAGAUGCAAAAAGGAGAAGGAAGUACAGAGCAAAAGAGGAAGGGAGAGAAAAAAAAAAUAAACCUAGCGUACAGGCACGCAGUCAAAACCAACUUCGGGGUUGGACUGUUUCUAUUUUAAACGACGACGAGACCUGGAUAGAUGGAGUAUCCGGAGAAGGUUUUUGAAGACGUUUAGGAGGAAGGGUGAGUUUUCUGUUGAGAAACUCAAUCUGCCACACAGUAGCGGCCCCAUCUGGGAUCUGUCACUGCUGACAGCACCACAGGGCACAGCCGUGAUCUUCUGCACAGCCUGCACUCCCCGAAAUACCCUCCUUAAUCAAAGGAUGUCUGUGCGCCGGCGCUCAGCUGACCGCUGGAGCAGAGAGGCCUGCGGGUUCCACUCCACCCGCCAGCCCGCCCCCUCCCCAUGCUCACAACCUCCCCAGCCCCAUCUUUCCAGAACAUUAAUUAAAAGCGGAAAAAAGACAGAGGCUGAUGUCAUUGCUCUCAGAUCAUAAACGUAAGAGUCAUCCUGUGAGAAUCCCUG